CCCUUAGAUGUUCUGGGCCGCACGCGCGCUACACUGAUGCAUUCAACGAGUUUCUUCCUGGUCCGAGAGGAAUGGGUAACCUUUUGAAAGUGCAACGUGAUAGGGAUAGACUAUUGCAAUUAUUGGUCUUCAACGAGGAAUUCCUAGUAGACGUAGUUCAUCAGACUGCAUCGAUUACGUCCCUGCCCUUUGUACACACCGCCCGUCGCUCCUACCGAUUGAAUGCUCAGGUGAGCCAUUCGGACUUUCAUCAUGCUGGUUUCCAGUUUUGAUGAAGGAAAGUCUUGCGAACCUUAUCAUUUAGAGGAAGGAGAAGUCGUAACA
rnacentral:rRNA from 1 species